rnacentral:rRNA from 1 species
CGUGUAGGCGGUUUGGCAAGUCGAGUGUGAAAUCCCACGGCUCAACCGUGGAACUGCGCUCGAAACUGCCUUACUUGAGUGCGGGAAAGGUGUGCGGAAUUCCUGGUGUAGCGGUGGAAUGCGUAGAUAUCAGGAAGAACACCGGUGGCGAAGGCGGCACACUGGCCCAGCACUGACGCUGAGGCGCGAAAGCGUGGGGAGCGAACG